AAUCCGUGUUGCGGGCAUUUUUCUUAGGGAGCUCCUUGACCCUUUCCCACAUCUCAAAGAGACUCCAAUUCCAAUUGUUCAAAGGAUGAGAUCUCAUUUCUAAGCUU